UACGUAGGUGGCGAGCGUUGUCCGGAUUUAUUGGGCGUAAAGGGCGCGCAGGUGGUGCGGUAAGACUGCCGUGAAAUCUCCCGGCUCAACUGGGAGGGUGCGGUGGAGACUGCCGGACUGGAGGCACUCAGAGGCCGGUGGAAUUCCCGGUGUAGUGGUGAAAUGCGUAGAGAUCGGGAGGAACACCAGUGGCGAAGGCGGCCGGCUGGGGGUGACCUGACGCUGAGGCGCGAAAGCGUGGGGAGCGAACCGG
rnacentral:rRNA from 1 species